AACGAACGCUGGCGGCAUGCCUAACACAUGCAAGUCGAACGAUCCCUUCGGGGAUAGUGGCGCACGGGUGCGUAACGCGUGGGAAUCUGCCCUUGGGUUCGGAAUAACAGUUAGAAAUGACUGCUAAUACCGGAUGAAGUCUUCGGACCAAAGAUUUAUCGCCCAGGGAUGAGCCCGCGUAGGAUUAGGUAGUUGGUGAGGUAAAGGCUCACCAAGCCGACGAUCCUUAGCUGGUCUGAGAGGAUGAUCAGCCACACUGGGACUGAGACACGGCCCAGACUCCUACGGGAGGCAGCAGUGGGGAAUAUUGGACAAUGGGCGCAAGCCUGAUCCAGCAAUGCCGCGUGAGUGAUGAAGGCCUUCGGGUCGUAAAGCUCUUUUACCCGGGAUGAUAAUGACAGUACCGGGAGAAUAAGCUCCGGCUAACUCCGUGCCAGCAGCCGCAGUAACAC
rnacentral:rRNA from 1 species